UGGGGUAUCGCCAAGCGGUAAGGCACCGGUUUUUGAUACCGGCAUUCCCUGGUUCGAAUCCAGGUACCCCAGCCAU
rnacentral:tRNA from 1 species